rnacentral:lncRNA from 1 species
CCGUCGCAGCGAGUCCCCGAGGCUCAGGUCCGGCCGCCCCGCCCGCUCGCUCUUUCCGACGAGCGGGGGACUCAGAAAGUCUCCAAGUACCAACUUACUACUCAUCUCCUGUGUUUAUCGCAAGCUCAGCCUUGACAUCGGUCCUAAAUUUUUAGGAUCAUCCCCUCCAAAAUACUGAAGUCCACUGAGGAAAACCUGGUUUCUACAACAUCUCUCCAGAAAACAAAGGCAAGAACAACAUCCGAAGGAUUCCCUUCUUUCCCGUAUCCCUUUUUUACUCUUGUCCACAA